rnacentral:rRNA from 1 species
UGGGGAAUUUUGGACAAUGGGGGAAACCCUGAUCCAGCCAUCCCGCGUGUGCGAUGAAGGCCUUCGGGUUGUAAAGCACUUUUGGCAGGAAAGAAACGCCAUGGGUUAAUACCCCGUGCAACUGACGGUACCUGCAGAAUAAGCACCGGCUAACUACGUGCCAGCAGCCGCGGUAAUACGUAGUGUGCAAGCGUUAAUCGGAAUUACUGGGCGUAAAGCGUGCGCAGGCGGUUCGGAAAGAAAGAUGUGAAAUCCCAGAGCUCAACUUCGGAACUGCAUUUCUAACUACCGGGCUAGAGUGUGUCAGAGGGAGGUGGAAUUCCGCGUGUAGCAGUGAAAUGCGUAGAUAUGCGGAGGAACACCGAUGGCGAAGGCAGCCUCCUGGGAUAACACUGACGCUCAUGCACGAAAGCGUGGGGAGCAAACAGG